AUUUUCUCCUGUUAUUGUUCUCAAUGAUUAUCGAGCAUAUGCAUUACCAUGUGGCUUCAAGCGUGUCAGUGUGCUCUUGCUCAUAAUUUUUACUAUAUCUUGUUACUAAAAUUGCAAGUUAAUUGCAAAUUACUCAGAGCUUGGAUUGUCUCCUCCAGUUGGUUAAAGGAAAGCUACCGGGAAGGCAGAUUUGUUGACGAGUUGCCUUACAUACUAAAUGAUGAUGACUACAUAUCGAAGUAUCGAGCCAGCCUAAAAGCUGCAGUUCUCAAGGCAAAAGCAUGUUUUUGAGCUUUAUUUGAAGGGUAUGAUGUUUGCAUAUCAGCUCACGCUCAACCACCACCUAAAACUCUAUCCCUGAUAGUCAAGUCAGCCGGUGGAAAUGUAAGUUCUCUGUUAUUGUACAAAUCUCGAGUACUAGGUUUGGUUCUCUAUAUUACACAUACAACCACUAUAAUAUGGCUAUCCUCCCAUCUAAUGAAGACGUGAAGUUCUCAACAAACAAGCACGUAUACGAAUUCUAGACAUGGGUCAAUAAAUUAUAGACAUGGUGACGUGUCAUUUUUUUCUAAAAAA